ensembl:lncRNA
AAUUUUGUUUGGGUUAGUGGUUCAUUCCAAACCGCUUCAGUGAUUUACGACCCUGAGGCUAAAACAGAAGAACAUCCCUAUCUCCCUGCUAAAACUUUGCUUUCCUGAGUAGGAGGGAAGAGCAGGUCACUGGUUAGGAUGUGUGUCUGAGGCUAGGAAGGUUGUGUUUCUUACCUAGUCCAUCAUAAACUGCGCAUAUGACUCCAGUCUUCACCGUGUCUCCUGUGCUGCUCAGAGAUUGUGUGCACAGCAUUCCCAACUGCUAGAUCAAGUUGCUGGGGGACCUGGGCAUGCCUCCAAAAACAGACUGCAGUCACUGCAGACCAAGGGCCUUCUGGAGCACUCCUGAGAGCAACUAUUGCUCACUUCAUCCAUCUGGAGCUGAGCUAGAAGGCUCUAGAAGCGGCUGAAUCUCCAAGUGAAAAGGCAGUUUUAUCCUGCUAAUUGCUAAGCAGAUAGUUAAAGGGCGAUGUUCCUUGAUCCCUUCUUACCAGAGAUGGUGGUGCUCUGAUUACUGCUUACUUUUUCACUGUUCAUUGGCAUUGUGCUAGGAAAUGGAAAACCAUUCAACACAGGCAGAUGCAGGGAUGGAUCCAGACCUUUUCCAAGGAAGCAUGAGACAGUAAUGGUCAGCAUGAUGAGUAGCAGAAGGAAAUGGCUGUUUUCACUUUGACUCGCUUUAAUUGCCAGCAGUUCAAUAGCUUAAAUUGCAGAAGUUUGCAUUAGAUCUGCAGCAAAACAUACGAGGCACUGCAGAAGUGGAUGCUUCUAUCAUUACAUGCUGGGGGCUGCAGCUCUAUUUCAGCCACCCUUGUGCUAAGAGAAAUCUGAGCUUCCUGAUUUCAACCCUGCUGUCCCUUCUGUGGGGUCAUAUACUCAAGAUAUUUCCAUUCUUCCCAAAAUACCACUAUCAUUUCCCAGACAGUUGUCCCCGCAUCUGUAGAAAUGGAUGUUGUUGGACAUUGUGUUGAGAUGAUUAGCACGGAACACCCCAUAUACAACACUGUCAGCCCCACUCUGCAGGCCUGUGAUGCCAUUUGGAUUUGGAAACCAAUUUUGCCAGCUUUGUUAAUAUCUUUAUGCAACUAUGGAGCUUUGGGUAAUUCCCCCCCCCUUGAACCUCCUUCUCCUGAUUUCUCAUUUUCUCUAAUCAGAGAGCUCCACUAAGCAGUGCUGGAACCUGCUACAAUCCAUGGGUUCCCAUAUUUGCAGAAGCUAAGGAUAUACAUGCAUAACUAAUCAGAUUAGAUGCAUGGAUGCAGAUGGGGCACAUGAACAAUGUAUGCACUUACAUAUGUACAGAUAUAUAUGUGAACACACAUUUCCUUUCAAAAGAAAGUUUACUUCAGUUUGCUAAUAUGCACAGUAUUUGUUUUCUUAUAAAUUUUCC